UACGUAGGUGGCAAGCGUUGUCCGGAUUUACUGGGCGUAAAGGGAGCGUAGGCUGACUUUUAAGUGAGAUGUGAAAUACCCGGGCUCAACUUGGGUGCUGCAUUUCAAACUGGAAGUCUAGAGUGCAGGAGAGGAGAAUGGAAUUCCUAGUGUAGCGGUGAAAUGCGUAGAGAUUAGGAAGAACACCAGUGGCGAAGGCGAUUCUCUGGACUGUAACUGACGCUGAGGCUCGAAAGCGUGGGGAGCAAACAGGAUUAGAUACCCG
rnacentral:rRNA from 1 species